ensembl:lincRNA Gm28401 predicted gene 28401
AGAUGAAGUUAGCCUUCUCAGCUAGCCUUUAGAUUUGUCUGUUAACAGUAGAAAUGCUAUAAUAAAUCGGUAACAUAUGUUGCCAGGCAGGGAAAAGUGGUAGACAAGAGCCUGGGAGACCAAGCCAAGUACCAUGUGAAAGAAUUCAAAUUUCAAUCUAUUUGCUGCUAAUUACCAUCUGAAAAGUAAUUUGAAAGUGUUGUUACUUGCUUAUAUUCUUCCUCAUUUUUCUUUCUUUCUUUCUUUUUUUUUUUUCUCUUCAGAUUGCUUUCUUACCCAAAUUAUCUCCGUGAUUGCCUGUCCUGAGGCUUUGGGCCAAUGCAAACUACGGAAUGGCAAGUCUUACAAUCUUGUCUGUCCUUGUCUGGCAUCCAUCCUCCUUCCAGAGUGAACAGAGGUAUAUCCAUAAGCACCGGACACUGAUUUCACAGCCUCAUCCAAAGCCAGGCAAUUCUUGAGGCAAACAAACAAAGGGGUGUGAGUGAUUUCAUUUAUUUUGAUAAUCCUCUGUCUGCACAGGGGCACUUUGCUGUCUUUGUCAAAGUGAAUGACAACAAUUUGGCCAACUCUCUCUGAGCUGCACUCAACAGUGACAGGCAAAUUAUCAGA